CUAAAGCCCACUAGAACAACCACCAGUCCCGCUUCCUCUCCAACCCCCCCACCACCACCCCCGCCAUUGCCGAGCCACCCGAACCGGCGGCCAUGUCGAGAUUCUGGAGACCUGGGGCGGAGAAGCCGAGCGCAUCGCUCGUCGACGACGAGGAGGGCGGCGUCCUCUUCCUCCCCACCAACACCAACGCUUCUUCCUCCUCCUCCGGGUUUGGGUGCGCGUCCUUGGAGAGGCUGAGGCAGCGGCUGCCGGUGUACAAGUACCGCAAGGCCAUCCUAUACCUGGUGGAGCGGCAUGCCACGACCAUCAUCGUCGGCGAGACGGGUAGCGGCAAGUCCACGCAGAUCCCUCAGUAUCUUAAGGAGGCUGGUUGGGCUGAGGGUGGUCGACUUAUAGGUUGCACCCAGCCAAGACGAUUGGCCGUGCAGACGGUUGCAUCAAGGGUAGCUGAAGAAGUUGGUGUGAAACUUGGAGAAGAAGUAGGAUAUACAAUAAGAUUUGAGGAUGAAACAAACCCGGGCAUGACCAUGAUCAAAUUUCUCACAGAUGGAGUACUGAUUAGAGAAAUGAUGGAAGAUCCUCUUCUGAGCAAAUAUAGUGUCAUUAUGAUAGAUGAAGCUCAUGAAAGAUCCAUUUCAACCGACAUAUUGCUGGGACUCUUGAAAAAGAUUCAACGCCGUCGGCCGGAGUUACGCCUAAUCAUUUCCUCUGCAACAAUUGAAGCAAGAUCAAUGUCAGCCUUUUUCAGCAAUAGGCGGAAGAAUUCAUUGCUCAAGCCUGCUGAUGAUUUGCCGAACCCAGAACCUGCUAUACUUUCUGUUGAAGGUAGAGGAUAUACAGUAGAAACUCAUUAUCUAGAAGAACCUGUCUCAGACUACUUACAGGCUGCUGUGAAUACUGUUCUUAUUAUUCACGAAAAGGAACCACCUGGGGAUAUUUUGGUGUUUUUAACUGGCCAGGAUGACAUAGAUGCUGCUCUUAAGUUGCUAAAUGAUGAAAUUCAACAUCUGGGAAAACACUAUUUUGAUUUGGUGAUUUUGCCUUUGUACUCCGGCCUUCCGCGGGGAGACCAAGAUCUCAUUUUUGUUCCUACUUCCAAAGGGAAAAGAAAAGUUGUGAUAUCAACAAACAUUGCUGAGACAUCAUUGACUCUGGAGGGCGUGGUGUACGUUGUUGAUAGUGGAUUUUCCAAGCAGAAGUGCUAUAACCCGAUUUCUGACCUCGAGAGUCUAGUUGUCGCACCAAUAUCUAAAGCUUCUGCAAGGCAACGAGCAGGCAGAGCUGGAAGGGUGCGACCUGGGAAAUGCUUUAGGCUUUACACAGAGGAAUAUUACCUAAGUGAAAUGCAGUCAGAUGGCAUUCCAGAAAUGCAAAGGUCUAACCUUGUUUCCUGCAUAAUACAGUUGAAAGCGCUAGGCAUAGACAACAUCUUGGGGUUUGAUUGGCCAGCUUCUCCAUCACCAGAAGCAAUGAUUCGGGCUCUCGAAAUUCUAUUUUCACUAGGAAUCCUUGAUGAAGAUGCCAAACUAACAGUUCCCAUUGGUUUCCAAGUUGCUGAGAUGCCUCUGGACCCCAUGAUCUCAAAAAUGAUCUUGUCAGCAAAUGAUUUUGGAUGCUCUGAUGAGAUAUUGACGAUAGCAGCAUUUCUAUCUGUUCAGUCUGUGUGGGUCUCUAUGCGGGGAGUGAAGAAGGAAUUUGAUGAGGCCAAACUUCGGUUUGCCGCUGCUGAGGGUGAUCAUGUAACAUUCCUGAAUAUCUACAAAGGAUUUCACCAGUCUGGAAAAUCUAGUCAGUGGUGUUACAAGAACUUUUUGAAUCACCAAGCACUGAAGAAGGUCAUUGAAAUCAGGGCACAGCUUGUCAGGGUAGUGAAGAGGUUUGGCAUACAGCUGAAAUCCUGCGACAGAGAUAUGCAGGCAGUUAGAAAGGCCAUUAUUGCUGGUUCGUUUGCUAAUUCAUGUCAUCUGGAGGAAUAUGGCCAGAAUGGAAUGUAUAAAACAAUUAGGACGUCACAAGAAGUUUACAUUCAUCCAUCUUCCGUGCUCUUUAGGGUUAAUCCAAAGUGGGUCGUCUACCAGUCUCUUGUUUCAACUGACAAGCACUAUAUGCGUAAUGUAAUUGCCAUUGAACCAUCAUGGCUUACUGAAGCUGCACCGCAUUUUUACCAGUUCCGAACACCCAAUCCAGCUCCGCAUUAACUUAACCGUGACGGUGCAAUGUUGCAUUUAUGGUAAGAGUACUAAGGUCGGCUGGGGUCUCACUAUUUCCAUCAGUCCAUUUGGGCCAGUAUACCAAUCAGUAUGACUUGUUCUUAUCAAAUAGUAUGAACUACUUUGAAGAAAAUCAAUUGGGGCACAUUUGGUGGGCAAAGAAAGAAUCUUCCAUCUUGUAGAGGCACAGUUUCUUUCCAAACUAAUGGAAACCACCAUGUUUGUAUAUAAUUUGGACUUAUGGUGCUAUCCUGUUGCAUUAACGAUAUGAGUAUAUUUUCGGUCCCCGUUAUCUAUCCUGAAUUGCGCAUAUGUGGCAUUGCCUUGCUGUCUUACAAGUAGGACAUUCAUUGCCCCUCUGACGGACCAUUGAACUCAGCCGUUCCCACCAAAUCUGAACAUAGAGGCACUGAAAUUCAAAUGGACUUUGGAUCUUGCUGUCUGCGAUGUAGUAUCAAAUGCCCUCGGCUAUAUGGGGUUGUACCAUCAAGGUCAUAUAAACACAGAUGAUAUCUUUUAUCGUUUGAAGACUUGAUGAGUAGUAGCUGGGUUAUUUUUUUUUUUUUGCGGGGAAGUAGUAGCUGAGUUAUAAUCUGGAGUUUAUUGAGAAGUUAAUUAUAGGCAAAUGAAAUGCUCUUGUAUUGCACAUAGCUUCAGCGAAUAGCAGCAGCAGUAGUAUUACUUCUUUCAGUGUGUGUGUAGUCCCAGUGUGGAUGUUGUCCUAAAUACUUAUGCACGUGGAUUCAGCUGUUU